rnacentral:rRNA from 1 species
AACGAACGCUGGCGGCAGGCUUAACACAUGCAAGUCGAACGCAUCCUUCGGGGUGAGUGGCAGACGGGUGAGUAACGCGUGGGAACGUGCCCUUCAGUUCGGGAUAACCCAGGGAAACUUGGGCUAAUACCGGAUACGUGCGAGAGCAGAAAGAUUUAUCGCUGAAGGAUCGGCCCGCGUCUGAUUAGCUAGUUGGUGGGGUAAUGGCCCACCAAGGCGACGAUCAGUAGCUGGUCUGAGAGGAUGAUCAGCCACAUUGGGACUGAGACACGGCCCAAACUCCUACGGGAGGCAGCAGUGGGGAAUAUUGGACAAUGGGGGCAACCCUGAUCCAGCCAUGCCGCGUGAGUGAAGAAGGCUUUCGGGUCGUAAACUUCUUUUAUAGUAAUAGAAAUGUUAUUAAGAAUAAGUGACUGCUAACUCUGUGCCAGCAGCCGCUGUAA